GACAAACUCUGGGUCUUAGAGAUGUAUAUGCUUCACUUGUUUUUAGCAUUGGGCGUGAAGAUCCAAGGGGGUAGCAAUCACAGAGCAUGGAAAGGGUCUGAGUUUGGGGACAGACACACAGAGGAGAGAUACACAUAAGAGGAGUAGGUGACAUGAAGAUGGAUCAAGGAGAGACACAGCCACAAGCCAAGGGACAGCUGCAGCCACCAGAAGCUGGAAAAGGAAAGGAUCACAUUCAUCCCUAGAGCCUCUGGGGGGUAGUAGAGGAUGUCUACAGCUUUUUUUGGAAAACCUCAGAUAUGACAGGGAAAAAGAACAAAAAAUUGAAGAAAACAAAGAGUACAGUAAAACUGUGAGAGGGAAAGGAGGAAACAGAAAAAAUGAAAGAAAGAGAUGAGGAGAUUGAGGCUCAGAGGGACUAAGCAACCUUCCCAAAGUUUCCCAUCUGGUAUGGGUAUUGUAUAAUGAAGAUCCAGGAUACUGCAAAGCCAAUUAAACACAAAGGACAUAACUUUCACCUCAGGAGAUGCACACGUGCCCACAAAACCCGCCACUGAGCUGCCUCUUUCUCUAUGUCUGCAUUUCAGACCAUCUCUAAAACAUUCGUGGGCAGCUCAUAAUUCUUGCCAAAUCCAUAUUUAACCUUCUGCAGCCACAUUAGUGGACAUGGCUUCAGCAUUCGUUGCCUAGAAAACAGAUCAAUAGGCUCUACAUUUUGAAGGGCAUCAAAUCCUCCCGGUCAGGGGCAGAGAGGCGGUGGGCCAGAGAAGAGCCAGCAGCAGUCAGAUUGAGCCUCACUGCACUGCCUGCACCGGACGGAACAGAACCUUUCUGGGGCUUGCCGGGCAUCCCGCACCUAGCGGGGGCUGAGUUGCUGUGCUUCUCCUGGGCACUCCGAAAUGCAUCAGCCUGGGCCAACAAAUCAAAGCCGAAGCUCAAACUAAUUACAGUCUGUGUGUGGCCAGGGCAAUCCCAACAACUCCCAUGAUUAAACUUCAGAGGGGUUUUGAAACGUCUGCAGGUAGACACAUUCCAGCCCAGCCGUCUUUUCUCCCUUCAGCAUCUUCAACAAACUCUUGGGCAAGAUUACAGGAGAUUCUCCCUUUCUCUAUUAUAUGUUUCUGUAACAAGUUGAGUCUCUUUAAAUGGUAAGCAGAUAUCCUUCUUAUCAAAAAAAUAAUGCUUAAAAAUCACCUCCAGCUCAAUAUUCUUUUAUAUCAUUGCUGUAUCUGAAUAACAUGUUCAAAUGAAAACUGUGUUGCCUCUGUUUGAGUCACAAUCAUUAAGGGCUGAGCUGCUUCCAAAGACCACAAAGAAUGUGCUUCUCUUCAAUUUAAAUGAUUAUCUCAAUGUGGAAUAUGAGUAGGUUUUGUUGGGGUCUUUGAAACCGUUUCUGGGUUACAUAUAAUAAAGUCUGUGCCAUUCACAGCCAUGAAUAAAAUAAGUUGUAAAUGA